rnacentral:rRNA from 1 species
GACGGAAGGUGCAAGCGUUGCUCGGAAUCACUGGGCGUAAAGGGUGCGUAGGCGGCCGUGCAAGUCUGGCGUGAAAGCCCCGGGCUCAGCCCGGGGAAGUGCGCUCGAAACUGCGCGGCUCGAGUGCCGGAGGGGAGAGUGGAAAUUCCUAGUGUAGAGGUGAAAAUUCGUAGAUAUCAGGAAGAACAACCAAUGGCGAAAGGCAGCUCUCUGGGACGGUACUGACGCUGAGACGCGAAAGCGUGGG